rnacentral:rRNA from 1 species
GUAGGGAAUAUUGGGCAAUGGAGGCAACUCUGACCCAGCCAUGCCGCGUGCAGGAUGACGGCCCUCUGGGUUGUAAACUGCUUUUAUACGGGAAGAAAAAAUACUACGUGUAGUAUACUGACGGUACCGUAAGAAUAAGGAUCGGCUAACUCCGUGCCAGCAGCCGCGGUAAUACGGAGGAUCCAAGCGUUGUCCGGAUUUAUUGGGUUUAAAGGGUGCGUAGGCGGAUCUUUAAGUCAGUGGUGAAAGCCUGCAGCUUAACUGUAGAAUUGCCAUUGAAACUGAAGAUCUUGAAUGUGGUUAAAGUAGGCGGAAUGUAUCAUGUAGCGGUGAAAUGCUUAGAUAUGAUACAGAACACCGAUAGCGAAGGCAGCUUGCUGAACCAUUAUUGACGCUGAGGCACGAAAGCGUGGGGAGCGAACAGGAUUAGAUACCCCAGUAGUCC